rnacentral:rRNA from 1 species
ACGAACGCUGGCGGCGUGCUUAACACAUGCAAGUCGAACGGAAAGGCCCUGCUUUUGUGGGGUGCUCGAGUGGCGAACGGGUGAGUAACACGUGAGUAACCUGCCCUUGACUUUGGGAUAACUUCAGGAAACUGGGGCUAAUACCGGAUAGGAGCUCCUGCUGCAUGGUGGGGGUUGGAAAGUUUCGGCGGUUGGGGAUGGACUCGCGGCUUAUCAGCUUGUUGGGGGGGUAGUGGCUUACCAAGGCUUUGACGGGUAGCCGGCCUGAGAGGGUGACCGGCCACAUUGGGACUGAGCUACGGCCCAGACUCCUACGGGAGGCAGCAGUGGGGAAUAUUGCACAAUGGGCGGAAGCCUGAUGCAGCAACGCCGCGUGCGGGAUGACGGCCUUCGGGUUGUAAACCGCUUUCGCCUGUGACGAAGCGUGAGUGACGGUAAUGGGUAAAGAAGCACCGGCUAACUACGUG